CCUACGGGAGGCUGCAGUGGGGAAUAUUGGACAAUGGGGGGAACCCUGAUCCAGCCAUGCCGCGUGUGUGAAGAAGGCCCUCGGGUUGUAAAGCACUUUCAGUGAGGAAGAACGCCUGGUGGUUAAUACCCAUCAGGAAAGACAUCACUCACAGAAGAAGCACCGGCUAACUCCGUGCCAGCAGCCGCGGUAAUACGGAGGGUGCGAGCGUUAAUCGGAAUUACUGGGCGUAAAGCGCGCGUAGGUGGCUUGAUAAGCCGGUUGUGAAAGCCCCGGGCUCAACCUGGGAACGGCAUCCGGAACUGUCAAGCUAGAGUGCAGGAGAGGAAGGUAGAAUUCCCGGUGUAGCGGGGAAAUGCGUAGAGAUCGGGAGGAAUACCAGUGGCGAAGGCGGCCUUCUGGACUGACACUGACACUGAGGUGCGAAAGCGUGGGUAGCAAACAGGAUUAGAUACCCCAGUAGUC
rnacentral:rRNA from 1 species